AGGAAUGUACGUACGUAGUAGUAGUACGUAGUAGUAGUGUGUGUGUGUGUGUGUGUGUGUGUGUGUGUGUGUGUGUGUGUGUGUGUGUGUGUGUGUGUGUGUGUGUGUGUGUGUGUGUGUGAUCAGUUGCUGUAAAAAAAAUAUGUCUGGACAAAGUGAGGAGCUGAAAUUCCCCUCUGAGUCUCUGCUGGUGUCGGAAAUGUCCCAGAAUGCCGUGUCCUCUGGCCCAACUCUAGAAGCGGAGGAGGAACCGAGCAGGAAGUUUGGGGCGUCUCUGGGAUUGUGGGAUUGGCACCUUCAGCGCUCCAUAAACAGACGUGGGCACAGUUCUCAGAAGGAUCCUACAGAGAACUGACGCUUGUGUAUGAACAGUGUUCAUGUCUGUGAUGAAGGUCUGUUGUCUUUCCCUCAGACUGAAGCUGCUCGCGGAUAUAAAGAGUUUCUGGCUGCUGUUAAACAGAUGGAGACACUUCCUGUCGCUCUGUGCAGUGAAAAGGAAGUUUGGGCCAAAUAUGGCAUUGCAUCCGACACCAUCUCCAUCUUCAGGAAGAAGAGAGAAGUCAAACACCGCAUGCUGGAGUACUUCGGCCUGAAGUCACGUGACCUGCCGCGGAGAAAUCACUACUGAGCGCGUGCAGAACUUCUGUGACUCCUUCCUGGAUGGAGACCUGCAGCAGCAGAAAGAGGAAGAGACACCCGAAGACUAUAACACCAUCCUCUUCCUCAUUACAAAUAUUAAACAAAAUACAGUGGAUCCUGUUUUUGAGUUCAUCAUGUAUGACCUGUGUGUGUGUGUGUGUGUGUGUGUGUGUGUGUGUGAGAGAGAGAGAGAGAGUGUGUAGUGUGUGUGUGUGUGUGUGAGAGAGAGAGAGAGAGAGUGUUGUUGUUGUUGUGUGUGUGUGUGUGUGUGUGUGUGUGUGUGUGUGUGUGUGUGUGUGUGUGUGUAUGAGCAAUUCAGGCAGAACCUCUUAAAAUCCUCACUUGUGCAUCCAUUUGAGCGUGAACUGCCUGAGGCUUUUUCUGGAACCAUGGCUGUGCCAGUUUGUUGCAAUAUGGUAGCUCCUCUUUGGAAGCAAGUCUAUUGCCUGGGUAGAAAAAAAGGCUGUCCAGACACUACAUCUGCCAUGAGCAAAUGCUUCAGAUGGCUGAAACAGCCUCUCAGUAGAGGCAGGAGCAUGCUGACAGGUUAAAUGGUUGCGUUUUCACAAGUUAUUUAAACUGAGGCAUUGAGAAGUCAUGCAGGAUUUCGGGGUCAAGUGUUUCACACCUUCAUAAACAAACCAACCCACACAAAGUAAGUUCGGCCUUCUUGAAUGUUCUGCCCUCUUUCCCAGUGACCAGUCUCCCUCUCAUGGUUGAAUGAAGCUCUCCCUUUACUAAUUUAUCACAUCUGCAAGGUCUACAUUUGUUCUGCCCUUAGCAAGUUCCACAAGGAAGGUCUAUUUUAAUCCCUUCUGCAGUAAACUCUUCCUCAUUCGAGCAGUUUUGCUCAGAGUGAAAAAAAAACAACACUGGACCUGAUGACUGGCACUUGGUAGGUAGCAGAUCCAAGGUUCCAUCCUCCCAAGAAGGAUCACCUUUGCCCAUGAGCAAGGUAUUUAACUCCAAGUUGCUUCAGGGAAGAGUUUUCAUAGCAAAAAGGUCACUGUGCAGUUUUAUAGUGACAUUCAGGGGUGCCAAAUCAAACAUUUUGCCAACAGCAGGUGAGUUUAGAAAAUAUAUUCAUUCUUAAUAUGUAUUACUGGCCAUAAAACUGUACUUUAUUAUUUUAUUUAAUUUUCUAGAGAGGUGACAAGAAAUUAUAGGCAGAAGUACAGUUUAAUGGCUGGAUGGUUUGAUUUGAUUGACUUAACAUUAGAUUAUCAUUCUAAAAACUCAACCAUGUAUUAUGCUGCCUGCUAAUACUGUUAGUCACAAAUAAAGUUAUUGGUCAACUGGUUAAUAAUUAGUUUUAUUCUUGUCGAAGCCAUUUUGAGGCUUAGCGAGUAUUACAGUAUAUGUGGAGCGUGAUCACACUGCAUGACAGUCAUGGAAACAAUUCUGAGGAAAAAAUAAAGAUUCUAUACUACAGGAAGGUAUCAGAUAAUAGAAAUCAAUUAUCAGUCAGAACAACAUGAUGUCUCUGAAACAACCUGAAGCAAUUGUAAAUCUGUAUGAAUGUUCCUCUUCCACUCUCAGCUUAGAGUAGAUAGGAAUGUUACUUAUUCACAAUAUCUCUAAUAACUGUGAAUGUAGAGCUCAUGGCAUUUUGGAAGCCUUAUCUCGUCUACUUGUCAAUCUUCCAUUAUGAUAGGCCUGAUGUAUUGUUAUUACAAGAACAGCAGCAUUUUAGAGUGCAAGUCUAAGCAUGGAUCAGCUAAUGGAAGGGUUUAAAGGUCAGGCCUAAAUUCUCUCCAAGAUGUGAAACAUUCCAAGACCUCCACUGAUGUUGACAUUUUACCUGAGUAUGUACUUAAUCCUUGCGUCAGUUACUUUUCCGAGCCUCAUGUCAACUUGAGAUUAGGGAGAACCUCUCAAUGGUUGAUUCUUUUGGGUUGAGAAUCUAUGGUGGGGAGACCUAGAUGUGAUUUGCCAUCAAAACAAGCUCACAAAAUAUCUGACUGAAGGGAGCUUUCGCAGACCUGUUCAUGAAUGUUGAUAAGAAGCUGGUAAACACUGUCAGAAUGACAGGAAAUAGAGACGGAGAGACAGAGUGCAGGCAAGACACUAGGAUGAAAGUAUGCAUCUUUAAGCAUAGCACUGCUGUCAAAUGAGGGCAGAAGAAGAAAGAUCGAAGGAUUACUCGUUCACGCCCGCCUUCUGAUUCAUUUCAUGCCCAGAUGGUUAAUGUUACCUAAAGCCUUAUGGGCUGACACUGGCCUUAAUUCAACCUUAAAAAGCUGUGGGCAGACCAAACCUGUGACCUUCCAAACCUCUAGUUGGGAAUUCUCUAGCACUAUUGGAAUAAAAGGCAGAAAAAUAUUCUUAAAUCAUUUAAAUUCAACUGUGGAUCUCCCAUUUUCAUGCAUGGAAGGUUAAAUUCACAAUCAAGGUAAUUAUGUAUUAGAUUAACAGAGCACCGAAAGUAACAUAUGAUGAAGAAAUGAUCUAUGCAUGGGAAAUAACAAUUGUAGUUAGCUAAUUUUGUACUUUAUAAAUACGUUCAACUCAAUGUCUUGUGUUUUACUUUUGCAUUGUUUCACUUUUGCAUUGUUUCAAACUGGCAGUUAUGUAGUGAAAAAUAACUUUUGACAGUGAACAUGAAAUAAUAGGUAAUAAAUCAAUAUAAAAUAUAAAUCCAAAUUAAACCCUGUUGAUAGUUUGUGAAUCAAAUCAAGAAUCAAUGACGAUAAAAGGAGUCACACUGCCUGGAGAGACCGAGUGAGCCAAUUAUAUCCAGUAAACAGCGUUUGCUGCAUUUCAUAGUGUGAAUCCUUUCAUUAAUAGCAGACACGUGAGAGGCGUUCACUGCGAAAACUAAUUUUAAAGAUGUAUGUGGAAAAGAGGCUGAAAGGGAGCACGCAGAUGGUGACGACUCUGAAUAAAACAUGAGGGGAGAGUGACACAGACUGACAAAAUCACAUUCGGAUCAGAGCACAGAUUCAACAUGUCACAAACAGCAUUUCCAAAAGCAAAGACUUCAUGUGAAAGUGUCCAAAUCCUGCUUUGGACAUCUCGGUUGACCCAGGUUGACCUUAGGGCCUCUGACGCCAUAUUUGUCACCUGAAGCAGUCAACCCUUUCACCUGCCAGCAUUGUGCUAUAACUGUGAGCGUGUGUGCUUCUACAACACAUCCUGUUGGCACUCACAUUCCCUAGGCCCCCUAUGUGUCAUUCCUGACAGAGGGAGAAAUCUUCCGGCAGGUUUGACAGACAUGUCCACAUGAUUAAUGUACGUGCCAUGACUUCAGAUGGAUUUGACUGCUUUCCUCAAGCCUGACAGUGACAACACAAAAUCCAGGAUGGUAUUUGGCAAUUUUAAUGGCUAAUAAAAUAAGGAGCCAUUCCUAUUGAAUGCAUUUUUUUGGAAGAGUCAGUCUUUAAGAGUCUUUAGAAAUCAAACUAAGAUAGCAUCUUAACCCUGCAUUUAGGCACAGAAGGUUUACAAAACAGUGAGACUUCUCACGAACGUCUUGUAGCAACUUUGUAAAUAGACAAACAAUUGAAAAAUUGUGCAAUUGAUCAAAAAAAAUUUGAACAGCACCUAACACAAAAUGUAAACAAUGAAGGUAAACAGAAAUGUUUGUGAUUCUGAGCAUUAUCAUUUAAAUCGAACAAUUUUUGCAAUGUCUUCUGUAUGACAGAUGAUUCUGUAUAAUGCUGGACACCAAGUGCUUUGCAACAGGCAGAGGCAUCUGAUUAACAAUGUUUUAUUGUGCAUGAAGCCUCCUCGAGCUCUCUGAGAAAGACUCUAAUUGUCAAAAGUUGACUGACAGUUAACAUUUCCUUCCAAUCAUAGGUCGUAAACACUGUGCCUGAAAUGUCAUCACGGUCCAAACUUAGAUACCAGUCUACAUUUCUGAAAAGUGAACAAAUGUGCCUGGAAAGGCCUUUUUUGGGUACUGUAGUGCAAACAAAUUAACUAUGGCCAAUAGUGAUGAAUUGAUAAUUAUUUUCAUGAGAUGACCACUAACUUGGAUGAUAAAUUUCUACAUAAUUUUGAUUCUAAAUAAAUUAAAUAUAAAACUAAAACUAAGUGUUGUAAAUACAAGUAAAUUUAGGCAUCACAACAAUGCACCAAACUGAAAAUGAUUUGCAAAGACAUUUAAAAGUGUUAUUAAAUUAGUAAAUUAAAAAAAAAAAUUAAGACAUGGAUAAUUAAGCAUCCAAUA
rnacentral:lncRNA from 1 species